AUCAAUCAAUCAAGGGAGAGAGCAUGGCAAAGCUCUUCUGGGAGGGUAUUCCAAAGUCGAGGGGCCACAAUCGAGAAGGCUCUGUUGCUUGUCUCACCAACCAAAUCUCAGCCAGUGAUGGGAUUCAGACAGGUCUGGAGAUGAACGAAGGGCCCUGGAAGAUUCGUAGAGGCGAAUGCAGUCCAGCAGAUACCCCGGCCCCAAGCCAUGUAGGUCCUUAAAUGUUAUAUAAGGGCGUCUGCAUAUGUAUCUCUAACAUAUGGUAUUCAAAGGCCGAGAGGAAGAAGAGAGAGAUUUGGAUGAGUGCCCUGCUGGAUGGACAACAAAGAUGAGAACUAGAUCUCUCUCUCUCUCCCUAAGAUUUGAAAAAUACCUUGGCCUGCGCUGCCGCUGGCAUCGGGCCAGUUUGCCAACUGUAGCUUUGAAGGAUUUGGACCUGGGCGGCCUCUCCAAGGCUAUUUUUAGUGGCAGAGGAGAGGCUGCAUCUGAAAAUAGCUGGGCCUCCUUGCUUGCCAGUCAGCGGUUUUGGCAUUGUGUAGGAAGCUCUCUUCCUACUGUUGGCUGCGUUCUGCGUACAAACAAGGCCAUUCUUGCUGCUCGCUGUGCAGAGUUUCAGCAAACUGCUCUUUGAGAGAUCACGGCGUGCAACUGAAAACCCUUUUUUAAAUCCCUGGACGUGGAUCGCAGAUCUCUGUGUGACCUGGGGCAGACGCUUUCUAGUCUGUGCUACACCAGCCAGUGCUACUGCUCUUUAAAUCCCCCUUCUAUCUUUUCUGUGCAUUUUAUUAUGGGAAAGUGUGUUUAGCAGUUUUAGUUUUUUAGUAGCUUGUUUCCUUUUAGUAGCUUGUCUCGUUUUAAAUUGUAAUUAUUUUAAAUGCUAGCCUUUUCACAAUAGCUAUCAUCAUAUUUGCAAUCACCUCUAUCAACAUGUAACUUUUCUCCAGUAUUACCUUCAUUUAAUGUGUAAUUUUAUGCUGGUCUCUGACCAUAAUAAAGCUUGAUUCUGAUUCC